GGAGGGCAAGUCUGGUGCCAGCAGCCGCGGUAAUUCCAGCUCCAAUAGCGUAUAUUAAAGUGUUGCAGUUAAAAGCUCGUAGUUGAAUUUCGGGGUUCUACCGUUGGUCAGGCAUUAGUCUGUACUGGCGUGUGGAAUUUCUACCUUCUGGGGAACCAUCAUGUUAUUAUUUAGCGUAGUGGGAAACCAGGACCUUUACCUUGAAAAAAUUAGAGUGUUCAAAGCAGGCUUACGUCUGAAUACAUUAGCAUGGAAUAAUAAAAUAGGACGUGGUCCUGUUUUGUUGGUUUCUGAAUCACCGUAAUGAUUAAUAGGGGAUAGUUGGGGGCAUUAGUAUUCAAUUGUCAGAGGUGAAAUUCUUGGAUUUAUUGAAGACUAACUUCUGCGAAAGCAUUUGCCAAGGAUGUUUUCAUUAAUCAAGAACGAAAGUUAGGGGAUCGAAGACGAUCAGAUACCGUCGUAGUCUUAACCAUAAACUAUGCCGACUAGGGAUCGGAUGAUGUUAAUUUUUUAAUGACUCAUUCGGCGCCUUACG
rnacentral:rRNA from 1 species